AGAGUUUGAUCCUGGCUCAGAACGAACGCUGGCGGCGUGCUUAACACAUGCAAGUCGGAUGCGAAAGGCCCUUUCGGGGGAGGAGUAGCAUGGCAGACGGGUGAGGAACACGUACCUGACCUAACGCUUGGGGGGGGAUAGUCCCGCGAAAGUGGGGGUAAUACCGCAUACGCUCGGCAUCGAGGGGUGCUGAGGAAAGUUGGCCUCUGCGAGCAAGCUGACGACGAGCGAGGGGGGUGCGGCCUAUUAGCUAGUUGGUGGGGUAAUGGCUCACCAAGGCGACGAUGGGUAGCUGGUCUGAGAGGAUGAUCAGCCACACUGGAACUGCGAGACGGUCCAGACUCCUACGGGAGGCAGCAGUGGGGAAUUUUGCGCAAUGGGCGGCAGCCUGACGCAGCAACGCCGCGUGAGUGAGAACGCCUUUCGAGGUGUAAAGCUCUGUGAGAUGGGACGAAGGCCCUGGGGGUGAAGAGCCUGCAGGGGUGACGGUACCGUCAGAGGAAGCCCCGGCUAACUCCGUGCCAGCAGCCGCGGUAAGACGGAGGGGGCGAGCGUUGUUCGGAAUUACUGGGCGUAAAGCGCGCGUAGGCGGCUUCGGAAGUCCUGAGUGAAAGCCCCUGGCUCAACUGGGGAAGGGCUUGGGCGACUCCGGGGCUGGAGUGCCGGAGGGGGAGGCGGAAUUCCUGGUGGAGCGGUGAAAUGCGUAGAGAUCAGGAAGAACGUCGGUGGCGAAGGCGGCCUCCUGGACGGACACUGACGCUGAGGAGCGACAGCGUGGGGAGCGAACGGGAUUAGAUACCCCGGUAGUCCACGCCGUAAACGAUGGGCACUAGGUGUGGGGGCCGAGAGGGCUUCUGUGCCGGAGCUAACGCAGUAAGUGCCCCGCCUGGGGAGUACGGUCGCAAGGCUGAAACUCAAAUGAAUUGACGG
rnacentral:rRNA from 1 species